rnacentral:rRNA from 1 species
GAUGAACGCUAGCGGCAGGCUUAAUACAUGCAAGUCGAGGGGCAGCACGAGUAGCAAUACUUGGUGGCGACCGGCGCACGGGUGCGUAACGCGUAUGCAACCUACCUUUAACUGGGGAAUAGCUCGGAGAAAUUCGGAUUAAUACCCCAUAGUAUAUUUGAAUGGCAUCAUUUGAUUAUUAAAGAUUUAUCGGUAAAAGA